rnacentral:rRNA from 1 species
AUUGAACGCUGGCGGCAGGCCUAACACAUGCAAGUCGAACGAGUGGCGGACGGGUGAGACAUGUCUGGGAACCUGCCAGAUGGAGGGGGAUAACUACUGGAAACGGUAGCAAAUACCGCAUAGCAUCAGCUGUGACCAGAUGGGAUUGGCUAGUUGGUGGGGUAAGGGUCCACCAAGGCGACGAUCCCUAGCUGGUCUGAGAGGAUGACCAGCCACACUGGAACUGAGACACGGUCCAGACUCCUACGGGAGUCAGCAGUGGGGAAUAUUGCACAAUGGGCGCAAGCCUGAUGCAGCCAUGCCGCGUGUAUGAAGAAGGCCUGCGGGUUGUAAAGUACUGUCAGCGGGGAGGCGUUACCCACAGAAGAAGCACCGGCUAACUCCGUGCCAGCCGCCGCGGUAAUAC